UGGAUUCCCUAACUAUUUUUUAACAGAAAUUCCUUGGUUCAAUAUAAAAAAGAAGAUGUGGUAUGAUUGCCAAUGAGACAACUAUCCACAAAAGACCAAAAUGACACAGACAUUAACAACUAUAGGUCACCGUACGGCCUAUAACAAUGAGCAAAGCCCAUACCGCAUAGUCAGCUACAAAAGGCCCCGAUAAGACAAUGUAAAACAAUUCAAACGAGAAAACUAACGGCCUUAUUUAUGUAAAAAAAAAAUGAACGAAAAACAAAUAUGUAACACAUAAACAAACGACAACCACUGAAUAUACAGGCUCCUGACUUGGGACAGGCACAUACAUAAAAAAUGUGGCGGGGUUAAACAUGUUAGCGGGAUCCCAACCCUCUCCCUAACCUGGGACAGUGGUAUAACAGUACAACAUAAGAACAAACUA
rnacentral:lncRNA from 1 species